GGCCCUUCUCUGGGGUCCAGGUCCCUGCCCACCUCAGUCCUUGUCCCCCUGUCCCCUUCACCACCAAGUUUAUCCCUGCCCUAGGGAUGUGGCACUUGCCAUAGCUUUGCAGGAAUGGCUUUCCCUGGUUCUGCAUGUGGCAAACUCUGUCUUGACACCCACGUCUCAGUUUAAAUAUCACAGAAUCUGCAGGAGAGCUUCUGUGCCCCCGGAUCUGAGGCAGCCCCUUCAGGAGCAGAAUUACAGCCCUAAAGACGUCCGUGCCCCAGUUGCUGGCACCUACAUGGUUUCACUCUGUCACCCAGGCUGGGGUGCAGUGGUAAGAUCACGGCUCAGUGCAGCCUAAGCCUUCUGGGCUCAAGUGAUCCUCCUGCUUCAGGCUCCCAGGUAGCUGGGACUACAGCUUCUGUCAUUUUCUGGCCUGAAAGUGAUGUUUCCCCUGACAUGCUAUGGCCCGGAUAAACCUUGCGGACAUCACGCUAAGUGGUGCAGGCGAAGUCAUUCGUCACAGAAGGACAAAUACUGUGGAAUUCCACUUCCUGUGAGGUCCCUGGCAUAGUUAAACUCUUAGCAACAUAAAGUAGAAUGGAUGGAUCUGGGACAGAGCUAAUGGAGGCUCUUCUGGCGUGUCCUGAGGACUUUGGCUCAAUCUUGGUGAGUUUAGCUCCUCUGAGUUCUUCUUAAUUCUCCUUGGGGGCCAGUAGUUGCAGAUGGCUAGGAGAAGGUGGGGCAGCUCUGGUGCUCUCUGCACUGAGGAAGCACUCCUGCUGCCCUGUGCGUGCUGCUGUGGAUGCUGAGUGCAGUCUGGACAGGGUUGCCAGCCAGGGCUCCAGGUGUUCCCUUCCUGUACGUGUGAUCAGC
rnacentral:lncRNA from 1 species